UCUCCGUAGGUGAACCUGCGGAGGGAUCAUUACUGAGUGAGGGCUUCGGUCCGACCUCCAACCCUUUGUGAACCAAACUUGUUGCUUCGGGGGCGACCCUGCCGCUUCGGCGGUGCGGCGCCCCCGGAGGCCAUUAAACUCUGCAUCCUUGCGUCGGAGUAUUGAAAGCAAAUCAAUCAAAACUUUUAACAACGGAUCUCUUGGUUCUGGCAUCGAUGAAGAACGCAGC
rnacentral:misc_RNA from 1 species